CACAGCUGCUGCAGAAUAGUUACCUUCUCCAGCUGUGGCACAGUGUGAGUCACCAGUAUUCCCUUGUCAAACAGAGAAAGGAGGGACUCCUCGAAGCUCUCCAGAGAGGGACUGAAAUGAACACCACCUGCCAUCUAGGACAAGGUCUAUUACAAAGAUCGGAUUCCUUUGAGGCCUGCAAUGGGAAGAGACGAGGAAGAACAGAGAUGUUUUUUGAGAAAACAGCACACAACUACAUCACAGUGGUGUUGAUACUAAAAUUGCCUACUGGAUAGGAGAUGAAAGCAGAGGAAAGGAGGACUGCUCCGUACAGAUGAAGGUACAAAAUGCUGAAAAACCUGUAAAGACACUGAGACCUCUCAUCUGACUAAGAAGGAAGUGGCAAUCAUGACCAGGAUCCCCAAAAGACAUAACCUUAUGUUGAGAACAGGAGCAGCUUUACAGAAGAACCACAUUCAGCAUCUCCAAUAUAUUCUCCAAAUGCCUUCUGGAAAUUAUAUCGAGUUAUCUCCCAAUCUUGCAUGUCAGCAGCACAGCUUGGGAUCAGCUGAAGCCAGUGCAAAGACUUCCACUGAUUACGAGGUCUCUAGUAAGAGCCUCAUGGACUAUUGAUGAGGUCAUCUCCCCAUUCCACUGUCCUCUGAGCAAUUCAGGACACUAUGGCAAGCAUCCAGAAAAAGCUGAGUGAAGCUGACCAGUGAUUUCUGCACCAGACUGCGCACAGAGUCCUGCAUGAUGAAUCUGAUGCGCUUCAUCAGCUUAUGUAGUUUGGACAUCUGGUAGAUAUCCCAAUUGCUCUGUUCCAGGUUGUACCAGCCUUUGCCUGCAUUUCUCAGGCUGCUCUUUACUGCAGUCUUUAGAGUAUUGAUCCAAGUAUCCUUGAGAAAUGUCUGAACCUAGGGCAAAUAAACAAAGCAAGCUGUGUAAUCCUCCGAGGGCUGACAGGAAAACAGUACGGCCAGGUUUGCCGGGUCUGCUGGAUUUUCUCUGUGAAAAGUAACUGUUUAGUACUGUAACUCACAAAUCCAUGCAUACACUUGUGGCAUUGAAGACUUGCCAUAUAUCUUCACUGACAAAAGACCUGCAAAAUAAAGCCUGAUAUGAAAAUGCAGGAGUGCUCUAUUAUUUCUUUUUAUACAUAGUCCUUUCCUUUUUGUUCUCUUUUCUAUAGAACAGUAUCCCUGGAGCUGCCUGUGUCAGGGUCCCUUAUAAAAAGUUGUGUAGACAGUAUGAUGAGCAAGUAAAGGACAGAACGUCGUCUUCUCUUGACAAGUGAGGAGAAAGGGGGGAAGCAACCAAGGGCAGCAGCAGCCUGCAGUGCUUUAAUUUAUUAAAAUACCACCAAGUGUCACUUUUGCUCCACAGGCAGCUGCUGCUUGUGUUCAAUAACACACUCUCAGUCACCGAGUGGAUGACAGCACUGCCUAGCUGAAACAGCAUGGGACUGGGAAGGACUGGCACAUGCCCUCUGCCACUGCAUAACCCUUGGCAAGAUGUGUAGCUACUCUGCAUGGCCAUACCCAGUGUCCAAAGUGCUGUCCUCGUUUAGAGAGCAAGAAAAUCUGGUGAGAGUUACUACAGGGUUACAAUUUUUUGUCCUAGUCUGUCUAUUGACAGUGCAAGCAGAGUAAUCUAAUUAAGUACAUAAAGAACAGAGUGUAGAAAAGCAUUACCCCCAUGAGUGCUUCAGGAAGAAUCUUGUGCCUUGCAGCUGAAGGGAUAGGGAAAAAAAAAAAAAACAAAAAACAAACAAACAAAAAAAAAAAAAAAAAAACAAACAAACAAAAACACUAGAAACCUGUAAAUGCCAGCAGGACUGUAAUCUGCAGGAGAUGAGGAGGGAAGAGGAGGGGCUGUGUAGCCCUUUGUGGCUGUUUGUUCAACACAGAACUAAGAGCAUUCCCUCACCUGGGUGAAGGUAUGGAUCUGGAUCUCUUCAAACUCCUCCAAGCUGACAUGCUUGGCUAAGGUUGAAUUAAACAGAGACAUGGUAGCUGCCUUGUUGCACUCAUCAUGAACCUGUGCAAGGACAAGGAUAACUUCUGGCUUGGUCAGGAGUGAGACAAAAUUGAAGUCUGCUUGUUGUUUGCCAAAAGGGUAGUCUGGGAUGCAGAUGAGCCCUGGCACCAAAGAAAAGGAACACAUUAUUACUUGCAACAGCAACUCCAUUUCUG
rnacentral:lncRNA from 1 species